rnacentral:tRNA from 1 species
GGCGCCGUCGCCAAGCGGUAAGGCAGAGGUCUGCAAAACCUCCACCCCCGGUUCAAUUCCGGGCGGCGCCUCCA